AAAGGUUGACCUCGGAUCAGGUA
rnacentral:rRNA from 1 species